ACCUGGGUGGCUUAGUUGGUUGGGUGUCUGACUUCGGCUCAGGUCAUGAUCUCACAGUUUGUGAGUUUGAGUCCCACCUCAGGCU
rnacentral:tRNA from 1 species